CGGCAAGACCGCACCUGCUCGCGAGUGUGAGCUUGUAGCCUCUGGCUGAGCUCCGCGCUUCGCGGCCCCAUCCCGCCUGAGUCCUGGGCUGGGAGAGGCGAGGGUCCCGGAUGCCUUGCCGCUGCUUAUGCCUGCUAGGGAAAGAGCCCAAAUGUCCAUAGGAGCCUAUAACUGGUGCAGGAUUAUUCAGCAUGGAACAUGGAAAGUCGUCACACCAUUUCCAAAGGAGGAAUGAAGCUGCACAAUGGGGAUGAUGAGGCCAAACAUAAGCUUGGCCCACUCCAUAGGCUGGCACUUGAACCUAAAGACUAAGCCUGACCUGCACCCUAACAUGCACCCUCAACUCAGCUCUCUGAGACCUCUGAGCUGCUGCAAUUUCAGCACCUGGCACCUCUUGGGACCUAACUGUAACCCUACCCAGGGCUCUGGACUUAAGGCAGCCCACCAUUGAGGUCUGAGGAAAGAAUGGAUUUGGGGCCAAAAACCAGUGUGUUUUUCAGCAUGGACGCCCGAAUUUCUCCAUGACAUUUCCAUGGCCAGGAUGGAGGUGCAUGAGGGGAAUCUGAGCUGCAACCUAACCCUCUCCCACACAGUCUUCUGGCUCCUGAACCCAAACUCUAAGCCUGAAUCGCUGCCUACCAUGCACCCUCCACCCAACCCUCCAGGGAGAUCACUGCACUGCCAGUGACUCUGCCCCUGACACCUCUGGGGAUCUAACCCUAACCCUAGCUCAGGCUCUUUCUCGAAGGGGGCCCACAUCCUAUGACAGGGGAAAAAUCUUUGGGACCUAUGAGUGGUGCACAAUUAUUCAGCAAGGAACCCAGGAGUCGGCCAUGACAUUUCCGGGGUAAGAAUGGAGCUGCUGAAGGGGAUCCAAGACCAAAAUUGAAGCCUGGAACAUACCAGCCACCCCCUCCCCACACAUCCUAAGGGUGUCCUACACCCUAACAGGCGCCCUCAACUCAGGCCUCCAGGGACAUCACUGAACUGGUGUUACUUCAUGCCCUGGCACCUCCAGGGACCUAACCCUAAUCCUAGCCCAGGCCUUUCCUCACAUGGCCCACCUGCUAGGUCUGAGGAAAGAACACAUCUGGGGCCCAUGACUGGCACAGGAUUAAUCCGCAAGGAACCCAGACACGAUAACAUUUCCAAGGCAGGGAUGGAAGCCUGGCCCACACGAUUGGCUGGCCCAAUAAACCAAAGCCCAAGCCUGACCCACA